rnacentral:rRNA from 1 species
UGCGUAGGCGGGCUAAUAAGUCAGUGGUGAAAUCUCUCGGCUCAACCGGGAAACUGCCAUUGAUACUGUUAGUCUUGAGUUCGGUUGAGGUAGGUGGAAUGUGUAAUGUAGCGGUGAAAUGCUUAGAUAUUACACAGAACACCAAUUGCGUAGGCAGCUUACUAGACCGACACUGACGCUGAGGCACGAAAGCGUGGGGAGCGAACAGGAUUAGAUACCCUGGUAGUCC